rnacentral:misc_RNA from 1 species
GUAAUGCGAUAAGUAAUGUGAAUUGCAGAAUUCCGUGAAUCAUCGAAUCUUUGAACGCACCUUGCGCUCCUUGGUAUUCCUUGGAGCAUGCCUGUUUGAGUAUCAUGAAAUCUUCAAAGUAAAUCUUUUGUUAACUCAAUUGGUUUCUACUUUGGUAUUGGAGGUCUUUGCAGCUUCACACCUGCUCCUCUUUGUUCAUUAGCUGGAUCUCAGUGUUAUGCUUGGUUCCACUCGGCGUGAUAAGUUAUCUAUCGCUGAGGACACUGUAAAAGGUGGCCAAGGUAAAUGCAGAUGAACCGCUUCUAAUAGUCCAUUGACUUGGACAAUACUUUUAUGAUCUGAUCUCAAAUCAGGUAGGACUACCCGCUGAACUUAAGC